GGGGAAUAUUGGACAAUGGGCGAAAGCCUGAUCCAGCCAUGCCGCGUGUGUGAAGAAGGUCUUCGGAUUGUAAAGCACUUUAAGUUGGGAGGAAGGGCAUUAACCUAAUACGUUAGUGUUUUGACGUUACCGACAGAAUAAGCACCGGCUAACUUCGUGCCAGCAGCCGCGGUAAUACGAAGGGUGCAAGCGUUAAUCGGAAUUACUGGGCGUAAAGCGCGCGUAGGUGGUUCGUUAAGUUGGAUGUGAAAGCCCCCGGGCUCAACCUGGGAAACUGCAUCCAAAAACUGGCGAGCUAGAGUACGGUAGAGGGUGGUGGAAUUUCCUGUGUAGCGGUGAAAUGCGUAGAUAUAGGAAGGAACACCAGUGGCGAAGGCGACCACCUGGACUGAUACUGACACUGAGGUGCGAAAAGCGUGGGGAGCAAAACAGGAUUAGAUACCCUGGUAGUCCACGCCGUAAAACGAUGUCAACUAGCCGUUGGGUUCCUUGAGAACUUAGUGG
rnacentral:rRNA from 1 species